AUCCCCUUCAGGUGUUUCUGUUCAAAAUUACAUCCAAUAUGUAGUUAAUAUGUAGCAAAUGUGUAGUUAUCAUGUAAAUCAACACGUUCGCUUGGCCUUUUUUUAUUUGAAUAUUUAAAAGUACCCAAUCCCAUUGAAACAAUUAUUUGUCCCGACGGAAAACGGAAGCAUAGUAUAGCCUGGUACCUGUUCGUCCAUUUUGAAGUCUGGUUUCAUUUUCAGUUUUCCUUCGGAAGUUAUAUCUGUUGAUCUGGGCAUGGUAUAUCUUUUCGAGACCGGUAGAGCAGUCGAUUGGCACCGUUGGGAUGUCAUUGGAAGGAUAAGAAACAGAGGAUAAGAAAGAGAUGACUUUUUGGAAGCCGAGUACCGGCGAUAUCUGAAGCUGCCAGCUGGACAAACAAUUUUUGGCCCAACGCACAUCAACGGCAGAAUGGAACGAAAGCGUAUCCAUUCAAAUAGGUUUAUUACAUACCAUAAUCAAUCUAAAAUAAGGAGUCCUUCUCGUGGGAAGUCCCAAGUUCUCAAGUUCCCAAGUUCUCUACUUUAUUGAAGGCUUUCCAAUUAACCAUGGCGGUAGUAGCCGAAUGAGGGGUGCAGCCGGGAAACUCAUAUCCAUUCGCUUUUCCGGAAUACGCAAUCGAAGGUUUUCCCCAUAAAUUGCUUCCAUUACCGCCCCAUUACCGCUCCGUAAUGGUGCUGGGCGAUCGUUUUGCAAUUUUUCGUUUCGCAUUUCCGCUGUGCAUUUGACGUGCUGUUGCUUCUGCUGCUUGUUGCUUGUUGCCUGUUGCCAGCUCGGCAACGUUUCUCGGCCAACGGCCAACGGAAGCGGGCCAAAAAGCGGACAAUCACAAAGUCCAAAUUCGCAUCCAAAGCGUAUCAAAUGCCAGGUUGGCCAGAUUUGGACAGGUUGCCCAAUGGCUAAGUGCCAGAAAUCCAAAAACGAGCGACGUGUGCAUUCCAAUGUCCAGCACUUUGCCUACGCCGAAUACGCCGCCAACGCUGGGGCGCUGUUCCUCCUCCACCCUUGAUCCCUGAGUACGGCCCACAGAGCACGGCCUUGCGAGUACCCCUUCCAGUACUAUCCAUUCAACUUUCGGUAUAAUCGGUAUUCGGCAUUCACCAUUCAGCAUUUUCCAUUCUCCAUUCAAUUGCUGUGGCGCUAUUUUUGAUUCAUUGAGCAAUUGGAAUCACGUCCUCACAAAAAAAAGAGAAGAGCCGCAUUCAGGCGGCGAAAAUAUAUACUCGUUUUCGACACCGAUCCCCACACCUA
rnacentral:sRNA from 1 species